CACUUCACCGAACUGGCAGUCUACAGAUUAUUGCUUGAUUUAGUUGAAAUAGCACUGAACAGAGCCCUAGUUACCCAAGAAAUUUGUCUACCAAAGAAACAGAGAUAUUAAGAAUUUACAUUGUCACUUCGUCGGAAGAUCAUUAAAGGAUUCAAGCCGCUUGGCGGUUCUUAGGCUUCACUUGAAUCCCAUUAAUUGCUUGCGGAAGUGGAUAGCUCACAGCUCCCUAACAAGCUGGAAUGCUCAACGACGAUCCAUGAAAUGAACAGCAAGACACGGACGGCCCAGAAGAAGAAGUGCUUUGAUUAUGUUCG
rnacentral:lncRNA from 1 species